rnacentral:piRNA from 1 species
UGUGAUAGAGCAGAGAGAGGAAGACAAA